AGAGUUACGUUAGUCCUGGCUACAGGACGAACGCUGGCGGCGUGCCUAAUACAUGCAAGUCGAGCGGACUGAAUGGAAGUUUGCUUUCGUCGGUUAGCGGCGGACGGGUGAGUAACACGUGGGCAACCUGCCCGUAAGACCGGGAUAACUUCGGGAAACCGGAGCUAAUACCGGAUAACACCGAAGAUCGUAUGGUCUUUGGUUGAAAGGCGGCUUUGGCUGUCACUUACGGAUGGGCCCGCGGCGCAUUAGCUAGUUGGUGAGGUAACGGCUCACCAAGGCGACGAUGCGUAGCCGACCUGAGAGGGUGAUCGGCCACACUGGGACUGAGACACGGCCCAGACUCCUACGGGAGGCAGCAGUAGGGAAUCUUCCGCAAUGGACGAAAGUCUGACGGAGCAACGCCGCGUGAGCGAAGAAGGUCUUCGGAUUGUAAAGCUCUGUUGUUAGGGAAGAACAAGUGCUGUUCGAAGAGGGCGGCACCGUGACGGUACCUAACGAGAAAGCCACGGCUAACUACGUG
rnacentral:rRNA from 1 species